rfam:Kluyvera intermedia strain CAV1151, complete genome.
UAAAUAAAUACACCACAGCAAUAAUAAAUUGCGUAUCAACGCAUCUUUAAUGAAUACAUUCUCUGGUGUGUAUAUGAUGAAUAAUCGUCGUUCUGUUAAAUACUGGUCAUGGGUGAGCGCGUUUUCUUUUUCCCUGUUGUUUUGGGGGGAGCUCAUCCGGAUAUGGUUGUUCUAAUCAAUGAAAACCUCGCCCAGGCGAGGUUUUUUGCUUUU